UACUAUAAAUAUGUAAAUGUUUUUAGCAUUGCAUUAAUAUACACCGAAUAUAUCUCUAUUCAUUUGUAAAAUUAAAAGAUAAAAACAUAUGGCUAAAAUUCACAAAUUUCUUUAUGCUAUAGUUUUGUUUUUGUCCAUAUUCUUUCUUUCAGUGGCCAGCUUUCCAUGUGAAACAGAGGAAGAUUGUGAAAAGGUGUAUAUCGGGGAGACGUUUGAUGCUCGAGUCAUGUGCUUUAUGAAAAACUGUUAUUUCAUUAUUGCGUUAUAAGGAAGAAACAUAUAUCUAAAAAAAGUAUGAAUAAUAUUAUCUUAUGGUUGAAUAUUUCGUAAGUUUCCAUUUAAUA